ACAACACUGUUCGCCAGAGAACUACAAGUGAGAAACUCAAAACUCAAAGGACUUGGCGGUGCUCCACAUCACCCUAGAGGAGCCUGUCCUAUAAUCGAUACCCCACGUUAAACCUUACCCCCUUUUGCCAUGCAGCCUAUAUACCGCCGKCGUCAGYCUACCUUAUGAAAGAAAAAUAGUAAGCGAAACAGUCAGUGACUAAAACGUCAGGUCAAGGUGUAGCACACAAGGCGGAAGAGAUGGGCUACAUUUUCUACCCCAGAACAUACGAAUGGCACAAUGAAACAAGUCCCCGAAGGCGGAUUUAGCAGUAAGACAAACAAGCAAAGAUGUCUUAAACCCGCUCUGGAGCGCGCACACACCGCCCGUCA
rnacentral:rRNA from 1 species